AGGCAUCAUUAGAUAUUGAAAACUCCGGUGGAUAGAGAUGGGCACGCGCAAGAUUAGAUAGUUGGUGAGGUAACGGCUCACCAAGUCAAUGAUCUUUAGGGGGCCUGAGAGGGUGAUCCCCCACACUGGUACUGAGACACGGACCAGACUCCUACGGGAGGCAGCAGUGAGGAAUAUUGGACAAUGGGUGAGAGCCUGAUCCAGCCAUCCCGCGUGAAGGACGACUGCCCUAUGGGUUGUAAACUUCUUUUAUACUGGGAUAAACCUACCCUCGUGAGGGUAGCUGAAGGUACAGUAUGAAUAAGCACCGGCUAACUCCGUGCCAGCAGCCGCCGGUAAUACGGAAGGGUGCAAGCCGUUUAUCCGGAUUUAUUGGGUUUAAAGGGUCCGUAGGCGGACUCCUAAAUCCAUUGGGUGAAAUCUCCAUAACUUUACCUAU
rnacentral:rRNA from 2 species